AUUCUUAAAUUCUUCCAAGCCAUAUUUAAAAUCCUUAUGCUCAGAGAUGGCAGGUGCCAUGUGUUUUCACAGCUACAUUAACAAAUGCAAUUUUGUGGCAACUUGACCACACCAGUGAAGCAGUAAAUUUCUGUAAUCUCUCUGGUUAAGAAUUUCACACAGGACUUUGCUGGGAAUGUGUAAAGCCCAUUAGUACAGGAGCAUGAUGAAGAUAAAAUUAAAAUACCUUUACAGUAAAAGCCAAAAAAGAGUGAAGUCUGGGGAUUUUUCUUUUUUUGCUGCUAGAGCAAUGAAACGUGUCAGAGGGAAAUGCUGAAGGAGAAAAAAAGUAGCUUCACUGAGCUCACAGCCUACUCUCCUUCUCAAAUGACUGCCACCAAUUUAGGAUCCCACAGUGAGUCUGAGGGAUACCAGUGCCAGAGGAGAGUUUUAUACACUGAGACAGACCCCCAGGACUAAGUUUCUGAGACGGAUGUUAGAUUUUGCAAGAAGAUGGGCUGUGACCCAUCAGCAUCACCCACAGCCCUUCAUGCCACCUACCAAGGACCUGGAGAUGAAAACAAUUGCAUGGGACCAGCACAGGGCCAAGAGGACACAAACAGCCCCUCCACAGAUGGCCAGGUGUGCUGCAGGUGUGAAGUACCUUUGGGAGACAGGGG
rnacentral:lncRNA from 1 species